rnacentral:rRNA from 1 species
CCCCUAGAUGUUCUGGGCUGCACGCGCGCUACACUGAACAGUUCAACAAGUCUUAACCUUGGCCGAUAGGUCUGGGUAAUCUUUGAACGCUGUUCGUGAUUGGGAUAGACCUUUGCAAUUAUGGGUCUUCAACGAGGAAUUCCUAGUAAACGCAAGUCAUCAGCUUGCAUUGAUUACGUCCCUGCCCUUUGUACACACCGCCCGUCGCACCUACCGAUUGAAUGGUCCGGUGAAAUCUCGGGACGGCGGCUUGGUCGCUUGCGUCCGACUGCUGAAACUUGAUUAAACCAUAUCAUUUAGAGGAAGGUGAAGUCGUAACA